rnacentral:rRNA from 1 species
GACGAACGCUGGCGGCGUGCCUAAUACAUGCAAGUUGAGCGCUGAAGGUUGGUACUUGUACCAACUGGAUGAGCAGCGAACGGGUGAGUAACGCGUGGGGAAUCUGCCUUUGAGCAGGGGACAACAUUUGGAAACGAAUGCUAAUACCGCAUAAAAACUUUAAACACAAGAUUUAAGUUUGAAAGAUGCAAUUGCAUCACUCAAAGAUGAUCCCGCGUUGUAUUAGCUAGUUGGUGAGGUAAAGGCUCACCAAGGCGAUGAUACAUAGCCGACCUGAGAGGGUGAUCGGCCACAAUGGGACUGAGACACGGCCCAAACUCCUACGGGAGGCAGCAGUAGGGAAUCUUCGGCAAUGGACGAAAGUCUGACCGAGCAACGCCGCGUGAGUGAAGAAGGUUUUCGGAUCGUAAAACUCUGUUGGUAGAGAAGAACGUUGGUGAGAGUGGAAAGCUCACCAAGUGACGGUAACUACCCAGAAAGGGACGGCUAACUACGUG